rnacentral:rRNA from 1 species
UUGACCUCGAAUCAGGUAGGGAUACCCGCUGAACUUAAGCAUAUCAAA